AACAAAAAGAUAUUGCUUAUAGAUCGAUGAGUUUAUU
rnacentral:guide_RNA from 1 species